AACGAACGCUGGCGGCAGGCUUAACACAUGCAAGUCGAGCGCCCCGCAAGGGGAGCGGCAGACGGGUGAGUAACGCGUGGGAAUCUACCCAACCCUACGGAAUAACGCAUGGAAACGUGUGCUAAUACCGUAUACGCCCUACGGGGGAAAGAUUUAUCAGGGAUGGAUGAGCCCGCGUUGGAUUAGCUAGUUGGGGGGGUAAAGGCCUACCAAGGCGACGAUCCAUAGCUGGUCUGAGAGGAUGAUCAGCCACAUUGGGACUGAGACACGGCCCGACGUCCUACGGGAGGCAGCCGUGGGGAAUAUUGGACAAUGGGCGCAAGCCUGGUCCAGCCAUGCCGCGUGAGUGAUGAAGGCCCUAGGGUUGUAAAGCUCUUUCACCGAUGAAGAUAAUGACGGUAGUCGGAGAAGAAGCCCCGGCUAACUUCGUGCCAGCCGCCGCGGUAAGAC
rnacentral:rRNA from 1 species